rnacentral:rRNA from 1 species
AUACGGAGGGUGCAAGCGUUGUUCGGAAUCACUGGGCGUAAAGGGCGCGCAGGCGGUUUGGUAAGUCAGAUGUGAAAGCCCACGGCUCAACCGUGGAAGUGCAUUUGAAACUGUCAGACUUGAGUACUAGAGGGGAAAGUGGAAUUCCCGGUGUAGAGGUGAAAUUCGUAGAUAUCGGGAGGAAUACCGGUGGCGAAGGCGACUUUCUGGCUAGAUACUGACGCUGCGGCGCGAAAGCGUGGGGAGCAAACAGGAUUAGAAACCCCAGUAGUCC